AUUUAAAUAGCUUAAUAAGAGCGUAAUAUUGAAGAUAUUAAGGUGAAUAUUUUAUAUUCUUUAAAUA
rnacentral:tRNA from 1 species